CCUGGCUCAGAACGAACGCUGGCGGCAGGCUUAACACAUGCAAGUCGAGCGCACUCUUUUAGAGUGAGCGGCAAACGGGUGAGUAACGCGUGGGAAUCUACCCAUCUCUACGGAAUAACACAGAGAAAUUUGUGCUAAUACCGUAUACGUCCCUCUGGGAGAAAGAUUUAUCGGAGGUGGAUGAGCCCGCGUUGGAUUAGCUAGUUGGUGAGGUAAGGGCUCACCAAGGCGACGAUCCAUAGCUGGUCUGAGAGGAUGAUCAG
rnacentral:rRNA from 1 species